GGCUUUUUAUUUUGGAAAUUGGUUAUUUUGAAAAUAACUUAAAGGCGUUCGAAUCGCUUAAAAGCUU
rnacentral:tRNA from 1 species